UAGAGUUUGAUCCUGGCUCAGAUUGAACGCUAGCGGCAUGCCUUACACAUGCAAGUCGAACGGCAGCACGGACUUCGGUCUGGUGGCGAGUGGCGAACGGGUGAGUAAUGUAUCGGAACGUGCCCUGUAUCGGGGGAUAACUACGCGAAAGCGUAGCUAAUACCGCAUACGCCCUACAUUAGAAAGCAAGAGAUCGCUUGACCUAUCUCUGUUGGAUCGGCCGAUAUCGGAUUAGCUAGUUGGUGGGGUAACGGCUCACCAAGGCGACGAUCCGUAUCUGGUUUGAGAGGACGACCAGCCACACUGGGACUGAGACACGGCCCAGACUCCUACGGGAGGCAGCAGUGGGGAAUUUUGGACAAUGGGGGAAACCCUGAUGCAGCCAUCCCGCGUGUGCGAUGAAGGUCUUCGGGUUGUAAAGCACUUUUGGCAGGAAAGAAACGUCGCGGGUUAAUACCCCGCGAAACUGACGGUACCUGCAGAAUAAGCACCGGCUAACUACGUGCCAGCAGCCGCGGUAAUACGUAGGGUGCAAGCGUUAAUCGGAAUUACUGGGCGUAAAGCGUGCGCAGGCGGUUCGGAAAGAAAGAUGUGAAAUCCCAGAGCUUAACUUUGGAACUGCAUUUUUAACUACCGGGCUAGAGUGUGUCAGAGGGAGGUGGAAUUCCGCGUGUAGCAGUGAAAUGCGU
rnacentral:rRNA from 1 species